rnacentral:lncRNA from 1 species
GAGAACUCAGAAAAAGACGUGACUCAGUUUGUUGUAAAGGAUAUUACAGAGUACAGAUGAAAAGAUACGUAAGGAAAGACAUGGGGCAAAGGAUGUGGAGCUUCCCUCCUGGGCACACCACCCUCCAGGAACCUCCACACAUUUGGCUCUCCAGCAGUUGUCUGAACCUAGUCUUUUUUGUGUUUACAGAGGCUUCAUUACGAAAGCAUGACUGACAAAACCAUUGGCUAUUGAAUCGGGCAGCCAUUAGAACCAAAACAGUUCUGAGGAGCUCCCAGGCUGCAAUGUGGUGCGAAAUGUUUUAUGGACAGAAAAUGGAAAUGAGGUGCAGAAAUUGGAGAUGAAAUUUCAGUCUUUAUUCAAGAUCAAGUGCAACUGUCUCUUUGAGGAAAGUCCUUUGACCGCCAUUUCUCCCCUUCAGAAGGCAAACACCUGGGGGAGAAGAUCUGCUUAAGGACCUGGUAACUGACAAAGAAUGGAAUGGGAGCGAGAACCGCCUAGCCAUCCCUUCUCCUUGCACAGUCAUGAAACAAAAGUUGAAAAGGAGCCUGGUUUUACUUGACCAGUCAUAAAUUACCAUAAAAUAAAAUGAGAUAUUAGGAACCUUUGAUCUCUGAAAAAGUAAUAUGUGUUGAAAAGAAAUAUCACUGUUACAUAUAGACAAAUAAUAGAAAUAUUUGAGGCAUGCAUUUAAAAUGUAGAGGCCACUUAUAGCAGGCAUAUUAACAUGUGCAUUUGCUUUUUAAGAAGUAUACACACGUGUACCUUUAGCUUUGAAAGGGUAAGAUUCAAUGCUUGGGUGAUGGAUGCACUAAAGUCUCAGAAGCCACCACUAAAGGACUUACCCACGUAACCGAAAACAACCUGUACUCCAAAAUCAAUGAAAUAAAAUAAAAAGGUAAGAUUCAUAAAUAGCAAGUUGAGAAUGCAUGUUUAUACCAUGUAGACAAUGCAUGA